rnacentral:rRNA from 1 species
UACAGAGGGGGCAAGCGUUGUUCGGAAUUACUGGGCGUAAAGGGCGCGUAGGCGGCCUGCUAAGUCGAACGGGAAAUCCCCGGGCUCAACCCGGGAACUGCGUCCGAUACUGGUAGGCUUGAAUUCGGGAGAGGGAUGCGGAAUUCCAGGUGUAGCGGUGAAAUGCGUAGAUAUCUGGAGGAACACCGGUGGCGAAGGCGGCAUCCUGGACCGACAUUGACGCUGAGGCGCGAAAGCUAGGGGAGCAAACGGG